GGGGGUGUACCGUUGCUGGGUGUGUAUGUUGUGGUGUCUUGGUGUUGUGGGAGUGUAUGGGCACGUUUUGGUGUGUGUCCAUUGUGUCUGUGUGUCCGAGGGGCUGUUGGCCUGUAGCUGUUGGGUUGUGUGUUUGAGGGGAUGUAGGCGUGUCAGUGUGUAGGUGCUGGGGGUGCACUGGGGGUCAGUGACAGCGUGCUGUGGGUGCAGGUGUCUGUCUGAUGGGGUGCAGCUGCUGUGUCUGAGCAGGUGUUGGAGUGUUGCUGUUGGGAUUGUAUCAGGAUAUGUGAAGAUUUGUUGCAGGGUAGGUGUUGGCACUGGGUUGUGGUGUGUGUGGCAGGGUGUUGUUGUCAGGGUGACGGGGUUGUGUCAGUCUGUGUAGGUGUUGAGGUGAUGGGGUAUAAAUGUGUGCAUGCCAGGAGGCAUAGGUGUCAGGUCAGAAUGUGAUCGGGUGUAGCUGUCAGCGUGGAGAUGCUGUCAAAAUGUCCAUGAUGUGGUGUCAGUGUUAGUGUGUGCAGCUGAUGGGACAUUGGGUCAGGGCAUGACGGGGUGUAUGGGGGUGUUGGUACAUAAAUGUCAAUGUGUGUAGAUGGGAUGAGGUGUAGUUGUUGGUCGGUAGAUGUCACUGUCGGGGUGUGUGACAUGGUGUAGGUGAUGUGUGUGGUGAGGGGUAAGGGACGGGGUGUAUGUCAACGUGUGUAGAUGGGGUGAGGUGUAGCUGCUGGUCAGUAGGUGUGUGACAUGGUGCAGGUGAUGUGUGUGGUGAGGGGUAAGGGACGGGGUGUAUGUCAACGUAUGUGGAUGGGGUGAGGUGUAGCUGCUGGUCGGUAGGUGUGUGACAUGGUGCAGGUGAUGUGUGUGGUGAGGGGUAAGGGACGGGGUGUAUGUCAACGUGUGUAGAUGGGAUGAGGUGUAGCUGUUGGUCAGUAGGUGUGUGACAUGGUGCAGGUGAUGUGUGUGGUGAGGGGUAAGGGACGGGGUGUAUGUCAACGUGUGUAGAUGGAGUGAGGUGUAGCUGCUGGUCAGUAGGUGUGUGACAUGGUGCAGGUGAUGUGUGUUGUGAGGGGUAAGGGACGGGGUGUAUGUCAACGUAUGUAGAUGGGGUGAGGUGUAGCUGCUGGUCGGUAGGUGUGUGACAUGGUGUAGGUGAUAUGUGUGGUGAGGGGUAAGGGACGGGGUGUAUGCCAACGUGUGCAUGUGGCAGGCUGUAGCUGACAGUGUGUGUAACAUUGGGUAGCUCUUGGGGCGAUGCUCUGGAACUGCUCCCCACCAAGCCAGUCAGGACUUUGGGGAGCCUCCUCUCCCUUGGAGCAGACUGUCUGCAGGGCAAGAAGCUCACACGUCUUCACCUCCUGGGUCUCUCCUUGGAGCAUUCAGCAUCCUCUGCCCCUCCGUGCGCUUCCCACAGC